CGCGGGGUGGAGCAGUCUGGUAGCUCGUUGGGCUCAUAACCCAGAGGUCGCAGGUUCAAAUCCUGUCCCCGCAACCA
rnacentral:tRNA from 1 species